GGGCAGCAGUAGGGAAUCUUCCGCAAUGGACGAAAGUCUGACGGAGCAACGCCGCGUGAGUGAUGAAGGUUUUCGGAUCGUAAAGCUCUGUUGUUAGGGAAGAACAAGUGCAAGAGUAACUGCUUGCACCUUGACGGUACCUAACCAGAAAGCCACGGCUAACUACGUGCCAGCAGCCGCGGUAAUACGUAGGUGGCAAGCGUUGUCCGGAAUUAUUGGGCGUAAAGGGCUCGCAGGCGGUUUCUUAAGUCUGAUGUGAAAGCCCCCGGCUCAACCGGGGAGGGUCAUUGGAAACUGGGAAACUUGAGUGCAGAAGAGGAGAGUGGAAUUCCACGUGUAGCGGUGAAAUGCGUAGAGAUGUGGAGGAACACCAGUGGCGAAGGCGACUCUCUGGUCUGUAACUGACGCUGAGGAGCGAAAGCGUGGGGAGCGAACAGGAUUAGAUACCCUGGUAGUCCACGCCGUAAACGAUGAGUGCUAAGUGUUAGGGGGUUUCCGCCCCUUAGUGCUGCAGCUAACGCAUAAGCACUCCGCCUGGAGACGCCGG
rnacentral:rRNA from 1 species